UGCCGAGUCGCCAAGUGGUUAAGGCAUUGGACUUUGACUCCAUCACACAUACGUUCAAAUCGUAUCUCGGCAG
rnacentral:tRNA from 1 species